UACGUAGGGUGCAAGCGUUGUCCGGAAUUAUUGGGCGUAAAGAGCUUGUAGGCGGUUUGUCGCGUCUGCUGUGAAAUUUCGGGGCUCAACCCCGAACUUGCAGUGGGUACGGGCAGACUAGAGUGUGGUAGGGGAGACUGGAAUUCCUGGUGUAGCGGUGAAAUGCGCAGAUAUCAGGAGGAACACCAGUGGCGAAAGCGGCUUCCUGGUCCAGCACCGACGUUCAGGCACGAAAGCGUGGGGAGCAAACAGG
rnacentral:rRNA from 1 species